rnacentral:sRNA from 1 species
AUUGAGAAACACACACAAAUAUAA